UACGGGGGGAGCAAGCGUUGUUCGGAUUUACUGGGCGUAAAGGGCGCGUAGGCGGCGCAACAAGUCACUUGUGAAAUCUCCGGGCUUAACCCGGAGCGGCCAAGUGAUACUGUCGUGCUAGAGUGCGGAAGGGGGCUACUGGAAUUCUCGGUGCAGCGGUGAAAUGCGUAGAUAUCGAGAGGAACACCUGCGGCGAAGGCGGGUAGCUGGGCCGACACUGACGCUGAAGCGCGAAAGCCAGGGGAGCGAACGGG
rnacentral:rRNA from 1 species